AUCUAUGGCCAUACCACCCUGAACGCGCCCGAUCUCGUCUGAUCUCGGAAGCUAAGCAGGGUCGGGCCUGGUUAGUACUUGGAUGGAAGACCGCCUGGGAAUACCGGGUGCUGUAGGCA
rnacentral:rRNA from 1 species